rnacentral:sRNA from 1 species
CCGAUGCUUGUUAAGAAAGAAGUCCUUUGUUUGUGUAUGGCACAGGGCAGCACAGAGAGCAGCAGCCCAAGCUUCCUAUGUAGCUCUAUCAGAUGUCUCAUCCUUGACCUGGAAUAGGGGGAGGUGAAAGGUUAGUCCAUUCUUCAUGCUCAUUCAAUACUUCGUGUCU